rnacentral:rRNA from 1 species
GACGAACGCUGGCGGCGUGCCUAAUACAUGCAAGUUGAGCGAUGAAGAUUGGUGCUUGCACCAAUUUGAAGAGCAGCGAACGGGUGAGUAACGCGUGGGGAAUCUGCCUUUGAGCGGGGGACAACAUUUGGAAACGAAUGCUAAUACCGCAUAACAACUUUAAACAUAAGUUUUAAGUUUGAAAGAUGCAAUUGCAUCACUCAAAGAUGAUCCCGCGUUGUAUUAGCUAGUUGGUGAGGUAAAGGCUCACCAAGGCGAUGAUACAUAGCCGACCUGAGAGGGUGAUCGGCCACAUUGGGACUGAGACACGGCCCAAACUCCUACGGGAGGCAGCAGUAGGGAAUCUUCGGCAAUGGACGAAAGUCUGACCGAGCAACGCCGCGUGAGUGAAGAAGGUUUUCGGAUCGUAAAACUCUGUUGGUAGGGAAGAACGUUGGUGAGAGUGGAAAGCUCAUCAAGUGACGGUAACUACCCAUAAAGGGACGGCUAACUACGUG